GACGGAGGAUGCAAGUGUUAUCCGGAAUCACUGGGCGUAAAGCGUCUGUAGGUUGUUUAAAAAGUCUGCAGUUAAAGGUUGAAGCUUAACUUCAAAAAUGCCGUAGAAACUUUUAAACUAGAGGAUGGUAGGGGUAGAGGGAAUUUCCAGUGGAGCGGUGAAAUGUGUAGAUAUUGGAAAAGACCACCGAUGGCGAAGGCACUCUACUGGGCCAUGACUGACACUGAGAGACGAAAGCUAGGGGAGCAAAUGGG
rnacentral:rRNA from 1 species